rnacentral:tRNA from 1 species
GGCGGCAUAGCUCAGUUGGUAGAGCAAGCGGCUCAUAUCCGCUCGGUCAUAGGUUCGAGUCCCAUUGCCGCUA